GAUGAACGCUAGCGACAGGCUUAACACAUGCAAGUCGAGGGGCAGCGGGUAGAUGAGCUUGCUCAUUUAUGCCGGCGACCGGCGCACGGGUGAGUAACACGUAUGCAACCUGCCCGUCUCAGGGGGAUAAUCGUCGGAAACGGCGUCUAAUACCCCGUAUGAAGCUGGACGGCAUCGUCUGGUUUUGAAAGAAUAUCGGAGACGGAUGGGCAUGCGGCGCAUUAGCUAGUUGGCGGGGUAACGGCCCACCAAGGCGACGAUGCGUAGGGGUUCUGAGAGGAAGGUCCCCCACAUUGGAACUGAGACACGGUCCAA
rnacentral:rRNA from 1 species